rnacentral:rRNA from 1 species
AAAUAGAUACCCGGGUAGUCCGCGCCGUAAACGAUGAGUGCUAGGUGUUAGGGGGGUCCAACCCCUUAGUGCUGAAGUUAACACAUUAAGCACUCCGCCUGGGGAGUACGACCGCAAGGUUGAAACUCAAAGGAAUUGACGGGGGCCCGCACAAGCAGUGGAGCAUGUGGUUUAAUUCGAAGCAACGCGAAGAACCUUACCAGGUCUUGACAUCCUCUGACAACCCUAGAGAUAGGGCGUUCCCCUUCGGGGGACAGAGUGACAGGUGGUGCAUGGUUGUCGUCAGCUCGUGUCGUGAGAUGUUGGGUUAAGUCCCGCAACGAGCGCAACCCUUGAUGUUAGUUGCCAGCAUUCAGUUGGGCACUCUAACGUGACUGCCGGUGACAAACCGGAGGAAGGUGGGGAUGACGUCAAAUCAUCAUGCCCCUUAUGACUUGGGCUACACACGUGCUACAAUGGGCGGUACAAAGGGCAGCGAAACCGCGAGGUGAAGCGAAUCCCAUAAAGCCGCUCUCAGUUCGGAUUGCAGG